ACACACACACACAUAGGAGUGUAUGUGUGCGUGUACAGAGAUAGGAAGUUGAGGAUGAACUUGUGUUCAUCAAAAUCACCAAGAAAUUCCCUAAUCCAACUAAAAUUGGAGAUGUCCUUGAUGCAUGUUUAGUGAUUUUGAGUGUUCUACAUCAUAUAAUCAUAAGGCAACUUGGGUGAAGCAUCAAGUGGUUAAACCGGGGCGGAUGCGCGCUCAAAAGGAAAGGGUUAAGGUGACUACAAUAGAUCAGAAUAAUAGUUGUGAUACGGCACCAAAAGGCUUAAAGAAGUGGCUUAUUUUAUCAAUUAAAUUAAAUUAAGAAAAGUUGUUUUAUGUAUUCGCGUUUAUCCCAUAUUAAAGCUACCUUUGUAAAACAUAGGUUUUAUUCUCAUCUGUUUAAUAAAAUAAAAUCUGGUGUUUCUAAAC